GAGAACCUGCCGUAUACUGGGGGAUAACACUUAGAAAUAGGUGCUAAUACCGCAUAAGCGCACAGCUUCGCAUGAAGCAGUGUGGAAAACAAAAAGCUAAAGCUUUUGGUGGUAUACGAUGGAUCCGCGUCUGAUUAGCUAGUUGGCGGGGUAAAGGCCCACCAAGGCGACGAUCAGUAGCCGGCCUGAGAGGGUGGACGGCCACAUUGGGACUGAGACACGGCCCAAACUCCUACGGGAGGCAGCAGUGGGGGAUAUUGCACAAUGGGGGGAACCCUGAUGCAGCGACGCCGCGUGAGUGAAGAAGUAUCUCGGUAUGUAAAGCUCUAUCAGCAGGGAAGAAGCAAGACGGUACCUGACUAAGAAGCCCCGGCUAACUACGUGCCAGCAGCCGCGGUAAUACGUAGGGGGCGAGCGUUAUCCGGAUUUACUGGGUGUAAAGGGAGCGUAGACGGCAUGGCAAGUCUGGAGUGAAAGCCCGGGGCCCAACCCCGGGACUGCUCUGGAAACUGCCAUGCUAGAGUGCUGGAGAGGUAAGUGGAAUUCCUAGUGUAGCGGUGAAAUGCGUAGAUAUUAGGAGGAACACCAGUGGCGAAGGCGGCUUACUGGACAGUGACUGACGUUGAGGCUCGAAAGCGUGGGGAGCAAACAGGAUUAGAUACCCUGGUAGUCCACGCCGUAAACGAUGGAUACUAGGUGU
rnacentral:rRNA from 1 species